GAGAAUGGAGAAAGCCGGGAGGAGAAGCCGGAACCAAGGCGGAGAGCAGGGGUGCGCAUGCGUAGGGAGGGCACGCGGGCUCCCCGCCCCCUUCCCCAGAGGGGCGGAACAGGGGCCUUAAGUGACGUUUGUCAUUGUGUUAGAGGUAACUAGGGACCGCGGGGAAGGGGCGGGCUCGAGCUGACGAACUGGAUAUGUCGACGCUGCAGCACUCCACAGACAGAAUUCAAGGCCAGCCUGGUGUGUGUGUAACAAGUUCCAGGCCAGCAAGAGCUACAUGAUGAGACCCUACCCAGUGAUUGUAAGAAUUCCAAAAUUCAGGAUAACAAUGCUGGUCUCAGCAUGUAGCCCUGCCUGGAAAUCCUGCCUCAGAGUCUAAAGUGCUGGGUGACAGGUUUGAGUCACCAUAAGUGCUGAAGUAUCUUUAUCCCCAGAAACAAAAAGGAGGCCCCAUCCCAUAGCUAAUAUCCGCAGAGUAUGUCUGCACCUCACUUUGGCAAACACAGCCACGCCAACCCAGCAAUGCCACUUCCAGGAAUUGAUCCUCACAAACACAGAGUGGCUCUGACACGGGAGUUAUUUAUUGCAGUGUGGUUUGUGAUAUUAAUGUAGAAAUACGUUCCAUCAAUAAAGAUCUUUCAGUUAACAUUAGUCACC
rnacentral:lncRNA from 1 species